AGCGAACGCUGGCGGCAGGCCUAACACAUGCAAGUCGAACGAAGUCUUCGGACUUAGUGGCGGACGGGUGAGUAACACGUGGGAACGUGCCUUUAGGUUCGGAAUAACUCAGGGAAACUUGUGCUAAUACCGAAUGUGCCCUUCGGGGGAAAGAUUUAUCGCCUUUAGAGCGGCCCUCGUCUGAUUAGCUAGUUGGUGGGGUAAUGGCCCACCAAGGCUACGAUCCGUAGCUGGUCUGAGAGGAUGACCAGCCACAUUGAUACUGCGACACGGCCCAAACGCCUACGGGAGGCAGCAGAUGGGAAUCUUGCGCAAUGGGCGAAAGCCUGACGCAGCCAUGCCGCGUGGAUGAUGAAGGUCUUAGGAUUGUAAAAUCCUUUCACCGGUGAAGAUAAUGACUGUAGCCGGAGAAGAAGCCCCGGCUAACUUCGUGCCAGCCGCCGCAGUAAAAC
rnacentral:rRNA from 1 species